rnacentral:rRNA from 1 species
AGCGAACGCUGGCGGCAGGCUUAGCACAUGCAAGUCGAGCGGGCACUUUCGGGUGUCAGCGGCGGACGGGUGAGUAACGCGUGGGAACGUGCCCUCUGGUUCGGAAUAACUCAGGGAAACUUGAGCUAAUACCGGAUACGCCCUUUUGGGGAAAGGCUUGCUGCCGGAGGAUCGGCCCGCGUCUGAUUAGCUAGUUGGUGAGGUAACGGCUCACCAAGGCGACGAUCAGUAGCUGGUCUGAGAGGAUGAUCAGCCACACUGGGACUGAGACACGGCCCAGACUCCUACGGGAGGCAGCAGUGGGGAAUAUUGGACAAUGGGCGCAAGCCUGAUCCAGCCAUGCCGCGUGAGUGAUGAAGGCCUUAGGGUUGUAAAGCUCUUUUAUCCGGGACGAUAACGACGGUACCGGAGGAAUAAGCCCCGGCUAACUUCGUG